UACCAAUUCCCCAAGACAAAUGUAUUUAUGUAUCCCAUACAUACAGUAACAAAAAAUUUAAACCAAUCAAAAGAAAAAAUAAUAAAAUUGUGCAAAAUAAUAAUAAAGACGAAAUAAGCAUUUGAAAGAAAAAAAUUAGAAUUUACAAAUCAUAAAAGACUACCUUGCAGAUUUGUAUGAAAAUUUCAAAAUUUCAAUAAAAAAAUAAUUUCCCAUGGAAAGUCAUUCAAUGAAAUUGAUCUUAUUAUACACUGAAAGCUUGAGAAGAUCUGUCUAUGAAGGUUAGAGAAUGCUGUUUAGGGCAUGUGCCACAAAAAACACCCAGUUGAGAGAGCUUCGGUGGGAAUUCUGCCACGUCUUCAAAAAAGCAGAGAGUAGCUCUGUAAAUUACUUCAGAAGAUCAAAAAAGAAGAAAACUUCCCAAUAAUUCAUUUUGCAAACAUGUAUAAUGCUGAUAUCUAAAUCUCAUUAAAGAAAAAAAAAAGUAUAGAAAGAAAACCAAGAGUGGUAUUUCUCAUGUAGAUCAAAACAAACAUAAUGAGCAAAAGUUUAAGACAACGAAUCCAAUGGUAUUUAUGGUGGUUAACUGAUUAAUUGUCAACGUGAGUGGGAACGCCUGGCUGACUUGAGUCAGCGUGGUUCUGGGCGGGGAGACCCACUUUUAGGAGGAUUGUUGUCCAAAUGGUACAAAAAGAGAAGGGCGGGAAGGCUUUCAGCUGACUUCCCUUGUAGGCGCUUUGGCUGUUCCCUUCCGGAAGCUCUGCUUUUCGCCUGCCUUGGGCUUUGUCUCCUGGCUUUCGGUGCAGAUUCCUCAGCUUCCAGCACUGACCUUUCGGCUGCCGCAGACUGACUUCUAGAGCUGACCCUUCGACCUCCGGCACAGGCCCCUCUGUCUUCUGUCACGGAUCCUUCGGCCUCCUGAUGCAGACUCGUUACGGGACAUUGCUGCGGACUCCCGGCCUUUGGCUGGACCCCUGGGAUCUGUAGCGCCUGGACGAUCUUUGGCUCGCUUCUACUUUUGACCCUGGACGGCUGUUGUAGGCGAGUCUCGUGGGUUUCCGUGUCCGGCAUUAAAUCUGAUGCAGAGCAUGUGCAGUCUUUUCAGGAGCCUCGCCCCAGCCCUGCAAGCUCUGACUGUAGGGAAGGCCUACUUCCUGGCACUGAAAGUAGCCAGUCUUGGCGUGAACAGCCCCUGACAAUCCCCAGCAUAUGGUAAGAGAAGGUGCCGCUGCCCACCCAUCAGGAACUUUUCUUUCUAGGUAAUGAAGAAUACUAUGCCUUCUUCAAAUUGUCAUGAAAUUCGUAUAAAAAAGUCUGAAUUAAUGAGCUUUUGCUACAUUUGAACACAAGCUGAGGACUGAUAUCAGAUAAUCUUAAGAUUCUGAACCCAUAGCAAUUAUGCUUGUAUCUUCAGUGGUGUCAUCCUGAAUUAAACAUUGGCAAGCUUUAUUGAGGAUACCUCAGCAGAAUUCUUAAUUUGGAGAGACUAUCAAAUAAGGUAAUUCACUGUGGCUUUUAACAAGAUGAUAUAAAAACACCUCUAUUCUACCUAUUUUAUUAUAAAUUUAAACUUUCUUAAAGUAGAACCCAAUGAUUGCUCAAAGCCAUAUC
rnacentral:lncRNA from 1 species